rnacentral:rRNA from 1 species
UGAGGAAUAUUGGUCAAUGGGCGAAAGCCUGAACCAGCUAUCCCGCGUGCAGGAAGACGGCCCUAUGGGUUGUAAACUGCUUUUCCAGGGGGCGAACAGUAUCGACGUGUCGGUAUUUGACGGUACCCUGGGAAUAAGCAUCGGCUAACUCCGUGCCAGCAGCCGCGGUAAUACGGAGGAUGCGAGCGUUAUCCGGAUUUAUUGGGUUUAAAGGGUGCGUAGGCGGAUAAAUAAGUCAGUGGUGAAACCCGGCAGCUUAACUGUAGACUUGCCGUUGAUACUGUUUGUCUUGAGUAUGGUCAAGGUAGGCGGAAUGUGUAAUGUAGCGGUGAAAUGCUUAGAUAUUACACAGAACACCGAUUGCGAAGGCAGCUUGCUGGACCAAUACUGACGCUGAUGCACGAAAGCGUGGGGAUCGAACA